CAGAGGUCCCAAGCGUUGUUCGGAUUCAUUGGGCGUAAAGGGUGCGUAGGCGGCGGCGGUGAAGUCGGGUGUGAAAUCUCGGAGCUUAACUCCGAAACUGCAUUCGAUACUGCCGUGCUUGAGGACUGGAGAGGAGACUGGAAUUUACGGUGUAGCGGUGAAAUGCGUAGAUAUCGUGAAGGGAAGACCAGUGGCGAAGGCGGGUCGCUGGAGCAGUUCCUGACGCUGAGGUGCGAAAGCGUGGGGAGCAAACAGG
rnacentral:rRNA from 1 species